rnacentral:rRNA from 1 species
GAUCAUGGCUCAGGAUGAACGCUAGCGGCAGGCCCAACACAUGCAAGUCGAGGGGCAUCACGAGGUAGCAAUACUUUGGUGGCGACCGGCGCACGGGUGCGUAACGCGUAUGUAACCUACCUAUAACAGGGGCAUAACACUGAGAAAUUGGUACUAAUUCCCCAUAAUAUUCGGGGAGGCAUCUCUCCGGGUUGAAAACUCCGGUGGUUAUAGAUGGACAUGCGUUGUAUUAGCUAGUUGGUG